rnacentral:rRNA from 1 species
CCUACGGGAGGCUGCAGUGGGGAAUAUUGCACAAUGGGGGAAACCCUGAUGCAGCAACGCCGCGUGAGUGAAGAAGUAUUUCGGUAUGUAAAGCUCUAUCAGCAGGGAAGAAGAUGACGGUACCUGAUAAAGAAGCUCCGGCUAACUACGUGCCAGUAGCCGCGGUAAUACGUAGGGGGCAAGCGUUAUCCGGAUUUACUGGGUGUAAAGGGAGCGCAGACGGCUGUGCAAGUCUGGAGUGAAAGCCCGGGGCUCAACCCCGGAACCGCUCAGGAGACUGUGCGGCUAGAGUACUGGAGGGGCAGGCGGAAUUCCUAGUGUAGCAGUGAAAUGCGUAGAUAUGAGGAGGAACACCAGUGGCGAAGGCGGCCUGCUGGACAGUAACUGACGUUGAGGCUCGAAAGCGUGGGGAGCAAACAGGAUUAGAUACCCUAGUAGUC